rnacentral:lncRNA from 1 species
AUGGAGACUUUUGAAAUUCACACCCUCUCCUUUCUAAGGCACUUAACUUAUGUUACCAUGUAUUAUAAAUUGAAUUCUACAAAGUACCUUUUAGAUUGCCUUUCACAAAUGUUACUGCUCUCAAUGCUGGUUGCAAGUGGGCCUAUGGGUGCUCAUACCUGCUCAAUAUCAGAAGACUUUGAAGAGGGUGAGAUAAUCUGGACCUGUAAUUUCAUCAGUAAGGAAACUUCCAAGGAUCAGAGCUAAAAGAAGGCAACAGCUCAGACUUGGACAGUAUUUUCUGAAAUACUCCAAAGCUUCCAAAGCAUCCCCAAAUAGCCCAGCUAAAGGCAAAGAAGACAAACAAAAAUGGCUGUUAAUUAAAGGUGUAAUGUUUAUUAUAGCUG